UGCUGGGAGUGCCAUGUCACCUGUUAUCAAUGAAGAUGAGAACAUUGCAGAUGAAAGAAAGAAUUAUGAGUGGUGGAACAAAAGAGGUAUCUCAGAGUUACAAGAACUGACAAAGGCAUUGAAGGCAUCUAUGUUAUGCUGUUGGAAUGCAUGCAAACUUCAGCAGCAGAAAUACAAGGAUUGCACAUAGUGCUGGGAUCCCUAAUGAAAGAGACCUAUUGUUCUUCAGACUAUCCUGCUGGAUUGUUCCACUUCAGUUUGGUAUGUCAGAGCUACUCGGGUCUGCCUCCAGCCUAUUGACCCACAUUUCAAACACCCAUCAAAACACAGGGGUACUGCCCUCAGUUUGCCAUUGACGACCUGCUUACAGGAAGAGAACAUCUCCACUUCUAUGCACACCUGAAGGAAGUUCCAGCAGAGGGAAAAGCAGUCUUGCUUUUGACUUAGGUUUUUGUUAACUUUGCUAAACAGCAGAUGGAGGAUGAAGAAAUUCCUGUGCAUCCCCGUGCUGCUGGAGCCAUCUGAGAAGCAAAGGUGUCCCUUGCUUCACAUCAGCAGGCAGUUGCAUAGACUAGCACUUGGUGUGCACAGUGCAAGCUUGUGCCAUACAAGAACAAUACAAGGGGAAAACAAAGCUUCCCAUGCUCAGUAUUACACUGAUUUUUUUUUUUCCACCUAUCCAAGCACUGUGCUGACAACCACAACAGCUCCAGCAACAGCCAACUUCUGCUGCUCUACAGGAACACCACAUGCUCAAAGCAUCAAGGGCAAGUCGAAGGCAGGCCCUUGGUAUAGAACAAAAUCUUCCUCUCAUAUGUUUCAUUAAAAGACAUAAGAAGAGGAGUCUUAUUCCUCCUUGUUGACAUGUAGAGAGCAUUACAGACAGUUUCCCUGUUGGGUUCUUUCAGGCUGGUAGACUUUUCUUGUUUAGGUCAGCUGCUACCAGGCAGUAUAGAGGUCCCAAGGCAGAGUGCAUUGCUCAGCUUACAAGUGGAUUCCUGCCAUCCUGGGUAUAGAGGACUACCACCAUCACAGCAUCAAUGCUGGCUGAUCAGGCUGGUGCUAGGAAGCUGCUUCACUGUCGCACCAGCUGCCAGUAAAAACAGGCACUGUCUCAGCCAGAAGGGGAAGAAUUAAUUCAGAUCUCAGACACAGGCAAGAAAUGUGUGGGUUCUUUUGUUUAAAAAAAAAAAACCUCUCCUAAUGAAAAUUAUCUCAUCUUCAAGCAAGUACAGGAGAGGGCAAAGCUGGCAAAAGGCCUGGUAAAUGAUUUUUAUGAAGAGUGACUGAGGGAGCUGGGGCUGUUUAAGGAAGAGGAGGCUGAGGGGAGACCUCAUCGCAGUCUACAGCUACCUGAAAGGAUGUUGCAGAGAGGCUGCUGCUGAUCCCCAGAUAAUUAGUGACAGAACAAGAGGGAAUGGCCUCAAGUUGCAUCUGAGAAGGUUUAGACUGGACAUUAGGAAUUUUUUUUCCCAGCAAGAGUGAUCAGGCAGUGGAAUGGGCUGCUGAGGGAAGUGUUUGAGUCACCAACCCUGGAUGUGUUUAAAAGUCAUUUAGAUGUGGUGAUUAGGGAUAUGUUUGAAGAGUAGGAAUAUCAAUUGGGCUUGGGGAUCCUGAGGGCCUUUUCCAACCUAAAUGUUUCUAUGACUGUUUCUGUGAUUUCUGUUACUUAAAUGGAAGCAGAAUGGCAUAGUAGAGACAAAGUAAAGGGAAUAUGUCCAGAUCUGCCAAAAGUUUUGUUUUCUCACUGAGGCCUGGAAAGAGAUAUCUUUGCUAAUAAAUCAAGGUCCAUUUUUUUCUUCUUUCCUGUGACAGGACCUUAAAUGGGUGUAUAAUGUGAAUAGGGUGAGAGGUCUUUAUUCUCAGAAGGAAAAUUUCCCCCUGCUUGUACUCCACCUUGCACUCAGUGGAAAAUCAUUUAGCCCUUUUCUCUAGUUCACAGUUAAGCUAGUAGAAAACAACAGUACUGAAAACAAUUCUUAAUGAUGUAUUGCUUCAGUUAUCUACCAGAUAUAAUCAUUUCUAAGAAAUCUUAUCCCAGUUUAUAUUAUACAGAAAUAAAACCUGGGUCGUGUAUUU